GCUUCCGACUGCGGGGGGCCCGGCAGCGCCGGGGCGGCUCCUCAGCCUUGUCCAGAGCUCAGCUGCGGGGGAGGGGCCCCCGCUGAACCCCGGCGCUGGGCAAAUGCAGGGACUGGACAACGGUGACGUCAAACGCCCAGGGGGCAGGUUCAGGGUCGCCCUGUUCCCAACGCGCCUCCAAAUCGACGGGCUUGCAACGUGGUCCGGCACCGGCACCGGCACCGACCCUAGCGGCCAAGGCCGGGACGGGUCCGCCCGCUGGGCUAGUCCCGGCCGAAGCUGCACUCGGCACUGUAGGGGGGCUGCUUUGCGGGACUGAAGGUAACGCCCAGAGACGUAGUGCUGCUCCCGUCAAGCGUAGGGACUUGGUGGGGAUUUACCCUGGGCUUCAGCCUGGCUGACUUUGGGAGCUCGGGAGGUAACUAAACCUGGAUAGUGGAUUUUCGGGGAGUUCCUAAAAACCACAGGUUGGCUGGAUGACACUUGGCACUUCUCCAGCAUCUUCCAUCCCGGGAUCUCAAAGCACUUUCCCAACAACAGUCGUGAUUAAACCCAGCCACUCUUGUGGGGAUUCACUACAAGUGUUGUCUUUGAUGUGAGAUCUAAGGUGCAAUUUACCUGGGAUGACUGGUCCUUUUGGGGCUGGAAGCCUGAAUAUUGGUGUAAUUCAUGGUGUAACGGACCAUCUAUCACAAAGGUACUUCCCCACAGAAAUACAGUCACAUCUAUGAUUGCAAGUCAUGAAGGAUGAAUGGGUCUGAUUGAUGAACAGUGGAGCAACCAUCACAGGAACAGUCUCCUAGAUGGCCUGGGAACCCCACUGGGAAA